rnacentral:lncRNA from 1 species
CCAAUUACACAUUUCAAUCUUCAUUGUUGUGAGUUUGACAAGACUCUUUGCUGUUGAGUGUGUUAUCAAAUUUAUCAACCCAUUGCAGUUUGUUACCUUCAAAUAGGUCAUGUAACUAAAGGUAGCAGAGGAUGGAACCAACUUUAUCAGACUGGAACACUGAUAAACCCAAAUGCUUUCAAGAAAAUGUAGAACUGGGUCAAUCUAAACUCCUUCUUUGCAUAUACAUUGAAGCUUGGCCAGGUUCCAUAAUUUCAACUGUUUGAGUCGCGGUCUAAUUUGAGUUUCCUUUUCCGUUCUU